ensembl:lncRNA
UCUUUUAUAUCUACUAUUCUUCUCUCUCCGGCUGAGAGCUUUUUAUUGUAAUUAGCCCAUUUUUGCUUCAGCAUUGUAUAUUGCAUGUGCUGGAGAGGGGCAGACCAACUGAUUGUUACAUCUGUGGAGAAGAGACAUGUCUCAAAGAAGAGAAAUACACAGAUCGUUUGGAGAUCCAGGACAUUAAGCUGGAUGGAUCACUAGUAUGGAGUUCUUGGAAGUCCAUGGAAAGCUGGUGUAACACGGAGGAAGACUACCUGAACUUCAGACAUGACUUGAGUAAGAAAUACACCUUCAUGUUAAGCCUUUAUGUUAAGGUGCUUUGGGGGCUUUAUUUAUCUUGUUUUCUUUCAGCAACAUAUUUUAACAUGAUCUAAGUUGUAAUCAUUUUCCUGAAUCAUUUUAGAGCAUUGAUUGAAUUUUGGCCAGUGAAAGCAAUUAGAAAGUGAAUCACUAUUUGUAUAAUUUGUGUUAGUAGACCAUUAAUCUGUUUCCAUCAUCACUAAAUAAAUCCUAAACUUUAAAGAGUAUCUGUCUGAAGAAGCACAACUUUGUUGGCUGUCUUAGGUUAUUUAUGUGACUUUGUCUAACACUGAGUACAGGAAAGAGUCAUGCAGGAUAUAAAGCUGAAGAUUUUCAAGUUUACUGCCAUAUCCUCAGUGGCAAUCCCUGGGGAUGAAUGAAAUAUAAUCAGACUUUAUCUUAUGAAGGCUCAUAUGCCAUGUCAGAAAGUUUAAGCUUUAUCCUAAUGAUUAUAAAAAUCCAUGAAUGGCAAGGGGGAUGCCAUGA